rnacentral:rRNA from 1 species
GACGUAGGUGGCGAACGUUAUCCGGAAUUAUUGGGCGUAAAGGGUGCGUAGAUGGUUUGAUAAGUUACUGGUGGUAAACCGAGGCUCAACCUCGUGGAAGCUGGUAAUACUAUCAUACUAGAGUGCAGGAGAGGUUAACGGAACUCCAUGUGGAGCGGUAAAAUGCGUAGAUAUAUGGAAGAACAUCAAUAACGGCGAAGGCAGUUAACUAUUCUGCUACUGACAUUGAGGCACGAAAGCGUGGGGAGCAAAACGG